UGCACGUUUAAAUUCAUAUACAGAUGUUUUGACGCCCACGAGAGUUAUUCACGGUUUUCCAUUCUCACCUCUGGAAUGAACGUAGGAUGCUGAUCAGAAUUUUUAACCGCUUCCUCGCCACGGCUGAUGAUGCCACAGUGCAGCUUCUUUGUCUCACGCUGGGAGCUUGUGAAGCGGGAUUCCAGGAAGCUUUGAGCAUGAGCAAACAUCCUGCUGAAGCACAGCUGACCUAUCAAAGUCCAAAGGCGGGCGCGCUUCUGAUGGAUUUAUCCGUGUCUACGUGUGCAUCUGUGUGUAUGUGAAUGGAGAUGUGCGAAGAGCAGCCUUCUGUAGUACUCGUGGAGACUUGUGUUUGGGUCUGCUCCUAGGGGAGUCCCGGGAGUCCCGAGUUCGUGAGUUUAUGUGUGGAUGAUUUUUCUUGCUGUGGAUUGAUUUAUUCUGUGUUGAAAUAGCUGAGAAGUGGAACUCCACAUAAGGAUUAGACAAUCAGGAAGCUUUGCAGUGUUUAAAACCAACCUCACGCUUCUAAUAUGUCAUUUAUCUAAACAUAUAACCUUUAUUAAUGUUUUGAUGCAUGCUCAAUCAUCCAGGUAAGGAAAUCCCCCGGAGAAGUCACCUGGAUGAGCAAUGAAACGUUUCUCCCACUGAAAACGUUACGUCCAGAUGAACAGAAUCAACUUUUUGAAAACCUUUAUUAAUAGACACUAUUCCAAAGAAGAUCAAAUGUUUCUGGUUGAAGUAUAAUUUCUUUGGCUUGUACUUAUUUUUUUAAAACUAUGUUUAACUUGAGAAACAUAAUAUGUUUUAUUUAUAUAAGGGAUUGAUAUAGAUCCCAGCUGGAUACACAACUACCUGCUGAGGUGAUGAAAGUAGCUUCUGUAACUGAUACAGUGGAUUGAUGUGAUUGGAUAAUAUGGACUAUUCUUUUAGGACAGGCCGUAACUUGUUCAUUGGUCUUGGAUGGGGUUAGCCUUGAAGUCGAAACAUGUUGAGGGAACACUAAACAGAAGAUGAUUUUCUUCGCCCUGCUCUGCCGUUGGCCCUGAUGACUGCAGUUACAGCUCUAGUGGGUAAACUGACUGCACUUAGAAGUGUUAUUAAUGAACUGAAGUCAUUAUUCCAAUUAAAUCCCCUUUAAUUUCCUUCUGUGAGUUUCCUCAGCGGGCACCUCAUCCAUCUUCACAGAUUGCUGCUCCUCAAAGCCGUGGAGGCGUGGGGCGGGGGUGCGAUGUAAUCGAAAAUGAUGGUGACCUACAGAGACAUGGACUGAGAUACAAGGCCUGCCCUUGUCUGAGCGUGAGUGACUGGCUGGCACAAUAAACCAGAUCCACACGGAGGCCUAAGAGGAAUCCACAGUCAUGGUUAAUUUCUUUGUUUAUGAGGCCAUCACUACUGUGGGGAGGGAUGAGAUGUCAGUGAAAAGGACAGUCUCUCUGCACCUGCAGCUAUUGCAUGUUUAUGUUCAUAUGGAUGUCACUAUAAAGGGAACAGAUCUGGAAAUCUCCAUUACACUCCUGCUUCACUCUGUAGCAAAACAUCUCUGAUUGUGAGCUAAAAAAAUCAGGUACAGGCUGAUACAGUCACACAGUUCUGCAUCACAGCUGUAGCCAGAUGCUGAUAAUCAGAUGCAUCUGGUAAACUGAUCAUCAGCAAUUGAGCACAUCUAAAAAAGAGGGAUUUUUCUAUAAUGUAAUCAUUUGUCAUUAGCCUAAUUUACAUAAAAAGUUAAUGGUAUAAAGUUUGAACAUAUAGAAUGGUUGCUGUGAAAAUUUAGCUUCAUAUAUCAAAUAGUGUUCAAGACACAUUUUGAAAAAAAUCUGCAGCAAUGUUUGAUUAGAAGUAUCUCAAAAACUAUUAAAGAUAAAGGCCAGGAAUUAUCACUGGUCCUUACUAUCAAAAUCAAUCAGGGUCUGUAAUUUGGGACACGUAAUAAUAAUAAUACUGGAUUGCAUUCAAAGUCCUGUAUUUGAGCAAAUACUAACACAAGAGUUUAUACUGGAAAAGACGUGAUGAUUUCUGAGUGAUAUAUCAUUCAAUCACACAAUACUGUAAAAUAAAGCACGUGGAAAAGCUCCAGCCCAACAAUCUGAUGUUCACAAGGCAUAAAC